rnacentral:lncRNA from 1 species
AGUUUUGGGCAAGUCACUACUUCUCUGAGCUUGUUUUCUCUUCUCUAAUAUAGGAAUAAUGAUGUCUGCCAUAAAUGUUAUUUUGAGGAUCAAAUGGGACAGUGUUCAAGGAUAUGCCGGGUAAACUGUAAAGCGGAAUAAAAUUGUGAGGUAUCAUUGUCAUUAGCAGCAGCAGCAUCUCACAGUCUGAAGAGACCUUUAAAGACAAACACCGACCCAUCAGAAGAGCUCAGCUCCACUUCUGUCUCACUCCUUGCUGUUUGCCUCUCAACUGUGAAAUGGGGAUGGUGUUAUUGGCUAACCUAUUGAGUUACGGCAAAGAAUGAGAAAAUAAGUUUCCGUAAGUAUAAAGUUUUACCUAGUUUCUUCUUUAAACAAAUAACAAUUGUAAAAUUAA